GUUUGAUCCUGGCUCAGGAUGAACGCUAGCGGCAGGCCUAAUACAUGCAAGUCGGACGGGAUCCAUCGGAGAGCUUGCUCGAGGGUGGUGAGAGUGGCGCACGGGUGUGUAACGCGUGAGCAACCUACCUCUAUCAGGGGGAUAGCCUCUCGAAAGAGAGAUUAACACCGCAUAAUAUAUCUGACCGGCAUCGGUUAGUUAUUAAAUAUUUAUAGGAUAGAGAUGGGCUCGCGUGACAUUAGCUAGUUGGUAGGGUAACGGCUUACCAAGGCGACGAUGUCUAGGGGCUCUGAGGGGAGAAUCCCCCACACUGGUACUGAGACACGGACCAGACUCCUACGGGAGGCAGCAGUAAGGAAUAAUGGUCAAUGGGCGGUAGCCUGAACCAGCCAUGCCGCGUGCAGGAUGACUGCCCUAUGGGUUGUAAACUGCUUUUGUCCAGGAAUAAACCUUUCUACGUGUAGGAAGCUGAAUGUACUGGAAGAAUAAGGAUCGGCUAACUCCGUGCCAGCAGCCGCGGUAAUACGGAGGAUCCGAGCGUUAUCCGGAUUUAUUGGG
rnacentral:rRNA from 1 species